GGAUGUAGCUCAGUAGGAGAGCACAUGUCUAAUAUCCAUGAGUGUUUGGGUUCAAUUCCCACUACCA
rnacentral:tRNA from 1 species